GGGGUGUGCUCAAAGCAAGGGGCCUGAAGAAUCGCUCCUCCUUAUAACAUACCCAACAGGAAUCUGGGAUCAUUGUGAUGAGGUGCACAAAACCGUAGCCUCCCUAGGAACAAAUUCCCUAUAUUC
ensembl:snoRNA